rnacentral:rRNA from 1 species
GUAGGUGGCAAGCGUUGUCCGGAAUUAUUGGGCGUAAAGCGCGCGCAGGCGGUUCUUUAAGUCUGAUGUGAAAGCCCACGGUCUCAACCGUGGAGGGUCAUUGGAAACUGGAGAACUUGAGUACAGAAGAGGAAAGCGGAAUUCCACGUGUAGCGGUGAAAUGCGUAGAGAUGUGGAGGAACACCAGUGGCGAAGGCGGCUUUCUGGUCUGUAACUGACGCUGAGGCGCGAAAGCGUGGGGAGCAAACAGGAUUAGAUACCCUGGUAGUCCACGCCGUAAACGAUGAGUGCUAAGUGUUAGGGGGGUUUCCGCCCCCCUUAGUGCUGCAGCUAACGCAUUAAGCACUCCGCCUGGGAGUACGGCCGCAAGGCUG